rnacentral:tRNA from 1 species
GGCCUGAUGGUCUACGGGUAUGAUUCUCGCUUUGGGUGCGAGAGGUCCCGGGUUCAAAUCCCAGUCAGGCCC